rnacentral:rRNA from 1 species
AGUGUGGGUUAAUUGCCUAGAAAAGAUUUUUCAUAUGUCUUACUCGCCCGUACCGUAAACCGACACAGGUGGGUGAGUGUAAAUGCACUAAGGCGCGCGAGAGAGACCUCUCUAAGGAACUCGGCACAUUAGCCUCGUAACUUCGGGAAAAGAGGUGCUCACUUCGGUGAGCCACAGUAAAUUGCGUUUAGCGACUGUUUAACAAAAACGCAGCACUCUGCUAAGUCGUUAAGACGACGUAUAGGGUGUGACACGUGACCAAUGCGGAAAGAUUAAGGCAUUUUGUUAGCCGCAAGGCGAAGCUCGGUGCCAAAGUCCCCGUGAAUGUCGGCCGUAACUAUAACGGUCCUAAGGUAGCGAAAUUCCUUGUCGGGUAAGUUCCGACCUGCACGAAUCGUGUAACGACUGAACGACUGUCUCGGAGAGGAUCUCGGCGAAACUGUAACUGCGGUGAAGAUGCCGCAUGCCCGCAGUAGGACGGAAAGACCCUAUGCACCUUUACUGUAAGCUGGUAUUGUGUUCUGAUUAAUAAUGCGUAGCGUAGGUGGGAGGCUUUGAAGUGAGUGCUUCGGUGCUCAUGGAGCCGCAAUGUGAAACACCACUCUUUGCUAAUUAGGAUUCUAACCUCGAUUCCUGUCAACCAGGCGAGGGACAGUGCUUGCGGGUCAGUUUGACUGGGGCGGUUUCCUCCCAAAGAGUAACGGAGGAGCGCGAAGCUUGGCUCAACACGGUUGGCAACCGUGCGUCGAGCGUAUGGGUAUAAGCCAGGUUAACUGUGAGACCUACAAGUCGAGCAGAUGCGAAAGCAGGCCCAAAUGAUCCGAUGGUUUAAUGUGGAAUUGCCAUCGCUCAACGGACAAAAGGUACGCUAGGGAUAACAGGCUGAUCGGUUCCAAGAGUUCACAUCGACGAACCGGUUUGGCACCUUGAUGUCGGCUCAUCGCAUCCUGGGGCUGGAGAAGGUCCCAAGGGUCCGGCUGUUCGCCGGUUAAAGCGGUACGCGAGCUGGGUUCAGAACGUCGUGAGACAGUUCGGUCCUUAUCCACUGUGGGCGCAGGAAUCUUGAGGGGUUCAUUCUCUAGUACGAGAGGACCGAGAAUGACGCACUUCUGGUGUGGCAGUUGUUCCAUCAGGGGCAUCGCUGCGUAGCCAUGUGCGGAAGAGAUAAGCGCUGAAAGCAUCUAAGUGCCAAGCUCAUCCCAAGAUAUGGAUUCCCGGACGCAAGUCCCUAAAGACCCCCGGCAGACUACCGGGUUGAUAGGUCAGGCAUGUAAGCGUCGCGAGAUGUUUAGUGGACUGAUACUAAUUGGUCGUGCGGCUUGAUCGC